rnacentral:rRNA from 1 species
UACGAAGGGAGCUAGCGUUGUUCGGAAUUACUGGGCGUAAAGCGCGCGCAGGCGGCUAUCCAAGUCAGUGGUGAAAGCCCGGAGCUUAACUCCGGAACUGCCAUUGAAACUGUUUAGCUUGAGGACGAGAGAGGUGAGUGGAAUUCCCAGUGUAGAGGUGAAAUUCGUAGAUAUUGGGAAGAACACCGGUGGCGAAGGCGGCUCACUGGCUCGUUUCGUGACGCUCAGGCGCGACAGCGUGGGGAUCAAACAGG